UUUCCCAAGCGUCAGCAUCAAAGCCAGGAACAGAACCUUCUCUGCCUUUUGGCAUUCAAGUUGUGCUGUCCACUCUAUGAACAGAGGACACAUCCAGGCUACAGCGGUCAUCAUCCUAUAGCUGAUAUUUGGCACCAUGCGGCAGGAUCCAUUCACACCGAUGGCAUGAAUAUAGAGAAGCAAUGAGGUCUAGGGCAGAAGCCAGUGUCUAUGGAUGAGAAAAUGAGAUGCAACCAACAAAGGAGACCCAGGAGGACCAGCCAGUGAGGUCAUAAGGAAGCUUGUGAGAUGGAAGAGAUGUCCAGGAAGCCAAGAGACGGGUGUGUCUUAAGGAUGGGACAUGGUCUACCAUGUGAUGUGUUGGCAGUCAAGAGAAGCAAGCACUGGUUAACCCAUGGAAUCAUCUGUGACCUGGACCCGAGUUCUGUGGAGUGGAGGGAUUGAAGGCAUCAAUGGAUGGGUCCAAGAGAAAUGACAGGAGAAGAACUGGAAACAGUGCUUUUAGAUAAUCCCUUUCUAGUCAUCUAGUCAUUUUGUCAACAUAGGCCAGUAGCUUGAGGGGGAAUGUGGCAUUAAAGCUGAAACAUGAGGUCAUCCAAUCUCGAAAUAGUCCCAAAUGAUUGCUGAAGACUGACAAGCAAGUCAGAUGAGACAUGGCUCGAAUGCCACCAGUAAUAAUAGAAAUAUUUUUAGAAGAUUCAGAUUUCUUCUCUUUUUUUUUUUUGGACCAAACAUUUUUGUGAUAUUCUCACAAUCUUAAUGGAAAAUUAUAACAAACAUAAAAAUCACACGGGAUCUUUCUUUUAGAAUUCUGCAAACACAACAACUUUUGGUUACACUGAUGAUUCUGGCAGCACAGGUAGGGCUGUUCCUCUGCAGAUGUUACUAACCCACCCUCGGCGAUGCUCUAGUUUUAUAAGGCAUGUUUUGUGUACGAGUUGGAUGUUACCUCUGUGACCUCGGUGGUAUGCUUGGCUGGAAUCAAAAGCAUCAAUUCCCAUUAGCGAUUUCCUACUGAUCGUAUCUAGUCUCCAAAAUCCAAAGAAAACUAAAAGUUUUCAAUGUUUACAGCAAGACCCAAGGAAACAUACUAGUGUUCAAUUAGAUGAGAGCCAUGACACGAAUGAAAAAAAAAAGUCAUGUUGGAGCUUUAAUUUUCCGUUGUUUUCUUUCUCUCUGCCAGAAUAGGUGUGACUCAGAUUCUUUAGUGAUACUUGCAAAUAUAAUAGAAAAGGAUGUCUCAAUUUAAGAAAAUUUAUAUAUCUGUGUGUAUAUGUACACACACACAUGCAUACACAAACACACACUUUCUCAUAAUAGAUAAACCAGAGAGUAAUGUUAAUAUGUGAAAGAAUUCACCAAGUAUAUCCUGUAAGUAGCAGUUAGUAUCAAAAUGCAUUUAAAAUCACAAUUGUAAAAUAAUCAACCAAGGGUCUUGGGAAUGUAAGUACAAUAAAAGGGAUAAACCAAUAAAUGUAAAGCUGAACUAUAAAGAUCCAUUAAUUAUUUUUAAAGCCCCAAAUCUCAAGUAUCUCAAAAUUAGUAUACCUUCCUUGCAAUUGCAAAACACAUGUAUAUCUGUUCUAUUCUGUUUACUUGAGAGUUAGGCUGACUUCUCUUUGAAUCCUUUUGUGUCAAUGAAUAUUAAGUAGGAACUCAGUCACACACAGCAGUAAAUUAAAAAAAAACCUGUCCAACUGAAUAGCAAAAUAUUGAUCAAGUGAAGAGCAAUUGCAUGUCAGGACCAAAUUUAUUAAUUAAAAUGAGUCCCCAUUUAAACACUAUAGUUGGAAUUUCAGCCCUAAUCUGACAUGCACAGUACAUUCUGAUAUCUUUGCUGACUUCAGGUCUGUGGAUAUUGUUUUUAAUAGGUGGUGCCUCUCUUACACGGUGAAUUGAGAGGAAAAAAAGAACAUAACACUGAGUCCUGUGUGUGCUGGGAGGCAUUUAGUACACCUUAUUCACAAGCGAGAAAAAGAAGACACGCACGAAGGACUGUGAGAAACAGAUUAUUUUAGGUACUUUGGGGGGAAAAAGAGUUACAAUUUGCCCAUAAAGAAUGGAGAGAACAGAAAUGUAGCUUUUAUGCUGAAAAACAAAAUGCAAGGGCAAUCCAGUUUCUAAUUCCUGUGCCAAAGCUGCUGUUCUUGAUGACCUCGGUCAAAUCAUUUAAAUUCUCUCAAUUUGUUCAUAUAAAAGUGCUAUUAACCUGCAGUUCCUCAAAUACUAUCCAAUCAAUGUUGGCUACUUGAUUUUCACUAAAUUUAAGAGAUAGAGCCUUAGAAAAGUGAUAGAGAACACCUUCAAAGUGUAAAAUCAAAGUUCUCCUUUCAGCACAGAGCAAUACAUAAAUAAAUGUUAUUGUAAAUGGGUAUCAUUACUGUUAAAACCCUGAGCCUCAUUACCCACCUGGUAAGCAACACAGGAAGCAGAAGGACAUACCAGGAAUCCACAGACAUGGACUGCAGUCAAGAUUUGCAGAAAAAUGUGUGUGACCUUGGGCAAGGUAUCUCUCUGUUUUCAAAACAGUUUUAUUAGGCAAAAUAAUGUACAAUAAAUUACAUAAAUGCCCAUCAAUCAAUGAAUGGAUAAAGAAACUGUGGUAUAGGCCAGGCAUGGUGACUCACACCUGUAAUCCCAGCACUUUGGGAGGCCAAGGCGGGCGGAUUGCCUGAGGUUGGGAGUUCGAGACCAGCCUGGCCAACAUGGUGAAACCCUGU
rnacentral:lncRNA from 1 species